GCCGAAAUAGCUCAGUUGGGAGAGCGUUAGACUGAAGAUCUAAAGGUCCCUGUUUCAAUCCUGGGUUUUGGCA
rnacentral:tRNA from 1 species